GUCCAGGUAUCCAAGAAGCACUGGGUGCGGCCAGUUGAGUGAGAUGGAAGGCCAGUCCAACUAAAACAAUUCUGGCUCAAAAGAAAAAGACAUGUUACCAACCAACUUUGGGACUUGAAAUGGAACUGGAAAAAUAUCCUCAGAACAGAGAUAAUCAUUACUUUAGAGGUUCUUGCUGCAGUCAAGACUGUCAGAAGAUGUAAAGAAAGUGUG